AUUGAACGCUAGCGGUAUGCUUUACACAUGCAAGUCUCACGAGUGGCGGACGGGUGAGUAAUAUAUCGGAACGUGCCCAGUAGCGGGGGAUAACUACUCGAAAGAGUGGCUAAUACCGCAUACUGUUGGAGCGGCCUAUAUGGGAUUAGCCAGUGGGUGGGGUAAAGGCUCACCAAGGCAACGAUCCGUAGCUGGUUUGAGAGGACGACCAUGAACAAUGAGAAUGAGACACGGACCAGACGCCAACGGGAGGCAGAAGUGGGGAAUUGUGGACAAUGGGGGAAACCCUGAUCAAGCCAUACCGCGUGUAUGAGAAGGCCUUCGGGUUGUAAAGUACUUUUGGCAGAGAAGCGGUAUCUGCAGAAUAGGCACCGGCAAACUACGUGCCAGCAGCCGCGGUAAUAC
rnacentral:rRNA from 1 species